UGCCAGCAGCCGCGGUAAUACGGAGGGGGCUAGCGUUGUUCGGAAUUACUGGGCGUAAAGCGGGUGUAGGCGGAUUGGUCAGUCAGAGGUGAAAGCCCAGGGCUCAACCCUGGAAUAGCCUUCGAUACUGCCAGUCUUGAGUAUGGGAGAGGUGAGCGGAAUUCCGAGUGUAGGGGUGAAAUCCGUAGAUAUUCGGAGGAACACCAGUGGCGAAGGCGGCUUUCUGGACCGAUACUGACGCUGAGACGCGAAAGCGUGGGGAGCAAACAGGAUUAGAUA
rnacentral:rRNA from 1 species